UAAUGAGACUGCCGGUGACAACCGGAGAAGGUGAGGAUGACGUCAAGUCCUCAUGGCCCUUAUGGUAGGGCUUCACACGUCAUACAAUGGUCGGUACAGAGGGUUGCCAACCCGCAGGGGGAGCUAAUCCCACAAAGCCGAUCGUAGUCCGGAUCGCAGUCUGCAACUCGACUGCGUGAAGUCGGAAUCGCUAGUAAUCGCGGAUCAGCCAUGCCGCGGUGAAUGCGUUCCCGGGCCUU
rnacentral:rRNA from 1 species